CCUACGGGUGGCAGCAGUGGGGAAUCUUGGACAAUGGGCGCAAGCCUGAUCCAGCUAUUCCGCGUGUGGGAUGAAGGCCCUCGGGUUGUAAACCACUGUUGUAGAGAACGAAAAGACACGUGAGAAGAAAGGGUGUGGCGGAAGGGACUCUAAGAAGAAGGAGCGGCUAACUACGGGCCAGCAGGCGCGGUAAUACGUAGGGUGCGGGCGGUAAUCGGAAUUACUGGGGGGAAAGGGUUCGCAGGCGGUUGAGUAAGACAGCUGGUAAAUCGCCGUGCUUUACUCGGGAAUGGCAUAUGUGACUGCUCGACUAGAGUGUGUCAGAGGGAGGUGGAAUUCCACGUGUAGCCGUGACAUGCGUAGAUAUGUGGAAGAACACCGAUGGCGAAGGCAGCCUCCUGG
rnacentral:rRNA from 1 species